GGGUGGAUCUAGGGCAGGGUUAGGUGAGAGCGCCUGCUGGUACUGUGUGCUUCUCACAGCUCCAGGGCCAGGCCCUGCUGCCCUCUUGCAGACAGGAAAGACAUGGUCUCUGCGCCCGGAUCCUACAGAAGCUCAUGGGGAGCCCCAGACUGGCAGCCUUGCUCCUGUCUCUCCCGCUACUGCUCAUCGGCCUCGCUGUGUCUGCUCGGGUUGCCUGCCCCUGCCUGCGGAGUUGGACCAGCCACUGUCUCCUGGCCUACCGUGUGGUAAGGUCCUGCUGCCAAGUGAAGGGGCACUUGCUUGGCACAGACUAGAACCCCUCUUUCUCUUGCCUGCCCUUUCCUACCUCUGAAAUCCUGGGCUCUUAGUGGCAGCCUCAGUGUGUCCUCUAUGUGGUCUUGAAGGGAUGGCUAAGGUUCUGGUGAGCAGAGGUCCUAGGCAGGGUGGGACUGAGAGAAAAACAGCUGGAUGGAUGGACUGAGCUGAGGGUCUCAGACCCAGAUGGUUGGAUGCAGAGUGCAGGGAGAAUGCACCUUAUGCGACUCCCUUCUAAUGACUCCUCUCUCCUUUCUUUUCCCUUCUGGGCCCUGUAUCUUCAGGAUAAACGUUUUGCUGGUAAGUCUUAUUUCCUGUCCUGCUCCUCUUCCCUGGGCUCCCCAGUGGUCCAGGACCCAGAGAGCCAUCCUUGGCAGUUUUGGUUCCCAACCCAAGGAGUCUGCUAUCAGUAAGAAAGUGCAGGACUAGUCUAGAUUCCUCAGAUUCUAUAAAUCCUUAGGCAGAGCUCUUCACUCCUCUAUCUGACCUUGGCUUCUGAGCACCAGAGUGGAGGAGAAAUGACUAGAAGAUGAGGGCCGUGUUGCUUCCUGCCAAUGGGGAAGAUAAAAUGAGCAACAUGGUUAAUCUCCAGGCAUCCACCCAAGUGGCUCUUCCUAUCACUGGCCCCUCACUCUAUCAGGAACAAUACUCUUUUAUACUUUAUGAUACAUUCAACUUUACCAAGCUUUCCCAGAUGCAUUGCAUUACUUAAGACUCUUGAUGAAUGAGCAGUCUGGCACCUGGGUCUAAUAACUUUCUCAAGAUCAUACUCAAAAGAUUUAUCAAAGCUCAGCCCUAAAUUCAGUUGGAAGGAGGUAAGAGGGACCUCCUUAGACCCAACUGUUUCUCUUUUUGUUUUUGUUUUGAGACAGGGUCUCACUAUGUAAUACCAAAGCUUCCAUCCUUUAAUCCUCCUGUCUCAGCCUAAGCAAUGGGCUUACAGCCAUGUGUCUCUAUGCUGACUUUCCUUUCUCUGACACAGGAAGUUUUGCUCAAACCCCCUGCCCUACUGUCCUAGCCACAAAGCCUUGGCACUGGUCUUGCUGUUUGUGUCUGGUUUCUGGUUUGUGUCUGGUGUCUCAUUCUUCAGGUAGGAAGAGCAGCUUUGAGCCAUUCCCAGUGGAGGUAUGGAUUAGGGACAGUUGAAGGGUAAGUACCUGGGCUGACACAGUGUCUGUUGUCAUAUUGGAACAGGUUUUUGUCUUGUUAACCUCAACAGGGACUUAGAGCAUCCUAAAAAGUACAUCACAACAAAUACUUUUGAGACAACUGUAUCAUUGUGGAGGUGCCAUCUCCACAAAGGGCAUCUAUCUCCAAAACUGUGUGUUCUAUGGACCUGCUGUUGUUACUUGGCAUCUGUAAAGUGGGAUCAAUUUACCCUGCUGUUUCAUUGCCUCACUUGGUACACACCGAACAAACAGCAGUUAUAAGGGGGUAGAGAGAUGGCUCAGUGAUUAAGAGCACUCAAUGCUCUUGCAGAAAAGAGUUCAAUUCCCAGGAUCCACAUCAGGCAGCUCGAAACUCCACCUCCAGGGAACCUGAUGUUUCUGGCCUUCAAGCACCUGCGCUCAUUCGCUCAUUAGCACCCACCUAUACACAGGCACACACACAUGCACAUAAUUAAACAUAAAGUCACAAAACGUUAGUUUAAAUUUUUUAUCAUUAGAAAUGAUGCUACCAUGCCUUUAAUCCCAGCACUCAGGAGAAAGAGGUAAGCGAAACUGCAUUAGUUUGAGGCUAGCCUGGUCUACAAAGUGAGUCCAAGACAGCCAAGGCUGUUUACACUGAGAAAUCCUGUC
rnacentral:lncRNA from 1 species